GCUGGGUGUGGUGGCACGCAUCUGUAAUCCCAGCUACUUGGGAGGCUGAGGCAGGAGAAUUGCUUGAACCUGGGAGGCGGAGAUUGCAGUGAGCCAAGAUUGUGCCACUGCACUCCAGCCUGGGUAACAAAGCAAGACUCUGUCUCAA
rnacentral:SRP_RNA from 1 species